GUGACCAUAGACUGUAGCCCCUACUGUAGCUUAGUCCUCUGCAGUAGGGGGAAGUGACGCAAAACUGUACCUCAUUGGUCCACAACAAAUAUUAUAACAGUGCCCAAAUGACACAAUAAAUCAUGAAAUCGACCCAUGGACAGUCAUAAGACGAAUAAAAUACACAUAUUGUGACUAUUUGUUCUUAUGAGAAAAAAUGAUUGACUUUGUAUCUUGACCGCAUUUGUACCGUAGACAUGGAAACCGGAUAUGAAAACACCUAUACUGGAGCCAACCGUAGUGGCGCUAGUGAGCAACCAGGAACAACAAGACCAGGAAAUGAGCUUCAAAAACGAAGUCUGGUUUUGGCCGCUUGGAGUCACCCUGCGUCAUACAGGAGGGGAACCACACGCUGACUGAAAAUGUCGGACUUUGAGUUUUUGCGUGUUCGAGGGGUCCCAGAGGAAGCCAUUUCAUUAAUGGAAGAGCAAAAGGAUGAACUUGAUGAAGUCGUCAACACAUGGAAUUCACACAAAAUCAGACCAAGAUCAAGUAAUGACGCGGCGUCGGGUCGGCCAGUUGUGAUGUCCUCAUUCCCAGAGUUGCACAGUGCUGAGGAUAGACUCAGAAUGGAUGGGAUGCUCCAGCAUAUCCACUUGCUGCAGCUGAUCUGUACAUCAUGUUAAGAGAGGAAAUACAGAAACAUAUUUGAUCACUGGUACAAAUCCAAUUUUUACUAAAUACAAAGGAAAAUAUGCAGUUUGAGGUGAAGUUUAAAAGAAGAAAACUACAACACAAGACCCCUUAAAAAAUAGCAAAAUUGUAGCUACAUUUUCAUAAAAGGUAAUCAGUGAAAUGUUUUGUUUUUU